rnacentral:lncRNA from 1 species
CAACAGAAAGUAAAUGCAGAGGCAAUUUCCUUGAUGUCUGAGAUAAUACCAUAGAUCGCUUUGUGUGGAUCCUUGGCAUUGAUUGCUUGGAUCAGCUCUAGAGAGUCCGAUCUCAUGAUGAUCUUGUUGAGGUGGAUAAAGUGAGCGAAAUCAGGUUUGAUCCUUGGUGAAGCUGUCCCGUAGAGGUGUGGAAACACCAUCCCGAUCCUGCCUGCUUUAGGUCCUCCUUCCAGGCUGUAUCCGCAAAGCAUGCAACUGCUUCAAUCGGUGGUUCGUGAUGGGGAAUCAGGUUCUGCAGAGGGGAUUAUCGCUUUUCCGGUGAUUGAGCCUGUUGCCAUUCUCGAGCCGCAACGACUGCAGAUAAGGCUGUUUCCUCCUCCGAAACCCCUCAUUCCUCAAAGAUUAGGCUGUUGCGAGCUCUCCAGAUCUGCCAGCAAGCCCAAGGAAAUAUGGGUCCAGCGUUCAGUCUUGUUGGGGGGAGGCAAAUCAGGCGGUUCCUUGUACUGCUGCUUUGAAGUCGUCGAAACUCGAUGAUUUUACAGAAAGAGGUAAGAUUUCCCAUACCUGUGUCGCAAAGGGGCAUUUAAGAAAUAGGUGGUCAGCUGAUUCAAUUUCUCCGCACCGACGACAGUUGACGUUUGUUUGAAUGCCUCUUUUUGCGAAGUUCUCGCCUGUGGGAAGUGCACCUUGUACGGCUUUCCAGAUGAAAGUUUUCAACUUGGGGGAGAAAGCUCCAUUCUAGAUUUACUCGUUCCAGCUGAAGGUCAGAGCAGAGGUCUCCUCAGGUAUGGUGUCUUUAAACUUCAGAGCUGAGUGGUAUCCUGAUUUAGAUGUGUAGAUACCAUUCUUUGUUGCCAGCCAAACAUACCUUAUCUUCUGCUCGAGAUUUACUCGAUCGAUUUAAUUUCAAGAAUUAUUGGAAGAAGCUCGGGAAACAGUGUUGAGAUUAAUUCAGUGUUCCACUUUCCAUUCUCAGCUGAUCUGAGGUCCGCUACCACAAGGGGCUGGGUCGCCUCGGUGGGGGGGUCCCAUGGGGGUUCGGGGUUGCUCCAUUGAAAGCCAUGGAUCUGUCCACUUUUGUUGUGGUUCCAUUGCCAAUGGCUAUGCCCAAGUGUCAGACCAGUAAGUCUCUUCCCACUAGAAUGCCGUGCCAUCCGUGUGAUUCUGAGCUGGAGUGUUUGACCUUUGUGAAGUGUUAUAUUUUGCAGUAUUUACCCAGGAGGACUUUAGAGAGGAGGCAAUUCUUAUUUUGGAGGAUUCUCCAGCUAAGCUUUGCUAAGAGGGCGUCAUUGAAGGAUUCAAUAUCUCUGAAGCCAAGGCCUCCCUCAUUCUUUGCCCUGGUGAGUUUGUUCCACGAAAGCCAACACAUCUUCUUUACUCUGUUUUUUGAGUCCCACCAGAAUCUGGUUAUAGCCGACUGAAUUCUUUUGUAUAGACUUUUUGGGAGCUUGAAGCAUGACAUGGAGUAUCCUGGAAUGGCUGCUAAGACAGACUUUAGAAGGGUCAUCUUCCCAGCGUUUGAGAGAAAUCAUGAAGACCAGCUUAUGGCCUUCUGACGGAUACGGUCCACUUUGAGAGUGAACAAAUCCUUUUUUCUUCUCCCAAAGUGCUCUGGUAAGCGUAAAUACUUACCCUUCCCUCUUUCAUUGAGGAUUCCCAGCUGGUUUUUGACUCAAGUUCUGAUAUCUGCAGGAGUCUUCUUUGAAAAGGUGAUGGCUGACUUCGAUGCAUUGAUCUUUUGUCCUGAAGCUUUCUCGUAGAGCUGGAGGAUUGUCUUGAGCUCAGCACAGUUCCUUUCAUCCUUUUUACAGAAGAACAUUGUAUCGUCGGUGAAAAACAAGUGGUUUAUUCUCGGGCUUCCACGUGAUACUCUGAUGCCAUUUAAUCGACCACUAGCUUGUGCUCUUUUGUAGAGACCAGAAAGGACUUCUCCGCAUAGGAUAAAGAUAUAGGGGGAGAGUGGAUCUCCCUGUCGGACGCCUCGCCUCGGGAUAACUUUUCCUUUUGCCACUCCGUUAAUGAGGUAAGAGUAGGAGACUGUCGUUAUACACUUCAUUAGAAUUUGGAUCCAGUGGGGUGAAAUCCCAUUUGUAGUAGCACUUUUUCGAUGAAACUCCACUCUAAUCUAUCGUAUGCCUUGCUCAUAUCGGUCUUAACGGCCAUUGAGCAAUGCACUUGAGCUUCAGAUUGUUUCAGGAAAUGUAGGGUUUCGUGGGAGAUCAUCACAUUGUCGGAGAUGGCUCUGCCUGGGACAAAAGCACUCUGGUUUUCCGAGAUAAUAUCAGGUAAGAUUGGUUGAAGCCUUUUAGUCAUGAUUUUGGACAGGACCUUAUAGAAUACAUUGCAGAGGGCUAUUGGCCUCUAUUCUGACGCAUUAUUUGGGCUUUCAAAUUUAGGAAUGAGCCUCACAUGUGUGGCAUUCAUUGAGCUCGGGAAGUCUCCAGUGACAAAGAUCUGCUGUAUCUCCUCCGUGAUCUUUGGUCCCACCACUUGCCAAUUUGAUUGGAAAAAGCUGGCAGAGAAACUGUCUGGUCCGGGUGCCUUGUCCGGAUGAAUGGAAAAUAUUGCAAUUCUGAUCUCAUUUCUUGUAGGUAUAGCGAUGAGCUUUCCGUUUAUCUCCUCAGAAAUGCAUGGUUUAAUUGCUUUGCUGACUGUGUCGGAUUGAUCUGUGCCUUGCGAACUGAAAAGUUCAUUAUAAAAGGUACAAAACGGAGGUAAUUGCAUCUUUCAGAGGGGAAUAUUUCUGCCCAAGUGCUGUUGCAGAGAGCUCUGUCUAGUCUGUUGUGGAUUAAGUGAGUAUGCCGCUUGCCUCUCCACGAGAGGGGAUUUCCUGUGUGUUGGAGAUCAAAGAGGUCACAUUAAGAUAGGAAGGCUCUGAAUUCACCGAAAGAACCUUCAGCUCUUCUCGGGCCACCUUCUUUUUCAGCGUUAUCCGUGAUAUCGUUAAAGUCCCCUAUGAGGAACCAGGGAUCAUUGCGUUGGUUGUUCAGGUCUGCUAUUACACGUUUUAGGAUAAAUUUUACCAUUUAAAAACUUACUAAACAUUCAAGUAAACAUUCAAGAUAGUUUGUGCCUCCAUUUCUAUUCAAAUUAAAGAUGAUCCAACACAAGGGCUUCGAUCAACCAAUUUUCAUAUAUUUCAAUUAUACGCUUGAAUUCUUAGACAUGUUUGUUGUUGCAAAUUAUUUUUAUGUUCACU